GGGUGCAUAGCUCAGUUGGUUAGAGCACCUCCCUUACAAGGAGGGGGUCAGGGGUUCGAGUCCCUUUGCACCCAC
rnacentral:tRNA from 1 species